GAGAGGGUUGUUUUGUGGUGAAGGCACUAGCCUGGGAGUCUGGAGAUCUAGGUUCAAAUCCUGCCUUUGUCA
rnacentral:tRNA from 1 species